rnacentral:rRNA from 1 species
GAUGAACGCUGGCGGCGUGCCUAAUACAUGCAAGUCGAGCGAACAGACGAGGAGCUUGCUCCUCUGACGUUAGCGGCGGACGGGUGAGUAACACGUGGAUAACCUACCUAUAAGACUGGGAUAACUUCGGGAAACCGGAGCUAAUACCGGAUAAUAUAUUGAACCGCAUGGUUCAAUAGUGAAAGACGGUUUUGCUGUCACUUAUAGAUGGAUCCGCGCCGCAUUAGCUAGUUGGUAAGGUAACGGCUUACCAAGGCAACGAUGCGUAGCCGCCCUGAGAGGGUGAUCGGCCACACUGGAACUGAGACACGGUCCAGACUCCUACGGGAGGCAGCAGUAGUGAAUCUUCCGCAAUGGGCGAAAGCCUGACGGAGCAACGCCGCGUGAGUGAUGAAGGUCUUCGGAUCGUAAAACUCUGUUAUUAGGGAAGAACAAAUGUGUAAGUAACUAUGCACGUCUUGACGGUACCUAAUCAGAAAGCCACGGCUAACUACGUG